rnacentral:rRNA from 1 species
GAUAUGCUCAGGAUGAACGCUGGCGGCGCGCCUAACACAUGCAAGUCGAACGGCACCCCUCUCCGGAGGGAAGCGAGUGGCGAACGGCUGAGUAACACGUGGAGAACCUGCCCCCUCCCCCGGGAUAGCCGCCCGAAAGGACGGGUAAUACCGGAUACCCCCGGGCGCCGCAUGGCGCCCGGGCUAAAGCCCCGACGGGAGGGGAUGGCUCCGCGGCCCAUCAGGUAGACGGCGGGGUGACGGCCCACCGUGCCGACAACGGGUAGCCGGGUUGAGAG